GCGGGGUUAGUGCAGUGGUUAGCACGUUUCGUUGUGGUGUUAGGCACUUGUUGAGCUCAAGUACUUCCCGAAGAGACCCUGGUUCGAAUCCAGGACCUCGCA